CGCACCUUGCGCUCCUUGGUAUUCCGAGGAGCAUGCCUGUUUGAGUGUCGUGUAAUUCUCAAUCCCGAUCGGUUUUGGCCGACUUCGAGAUUGGAUUUGGGAGUCUGCUGUGCCUUGUAUCAGGUUCGGCUCUCCUUGAAUGCAUUAGCUCGGUCACGUAGUUGCCCGACGGUUCACGGUGUGAUAGUUUAUCUUCAUCGCCGUUCUGACCGCUCGGUGCCUGUGUUCGCCGGCUUCUAAUACCGUGUCUCAGACAUGACUUCUUUAACGCUUGACCUCAAAUCAGGUAGGACUACCCGCUGAACUUAA
rnacentral:misc_RNA from 1 species